AUUGAACGCUGGCGGCAUGCCUUACACAUGCAAGUCGAACGGUAACGCGGGGCAACCUGGCGACGAGUGGCGAACGGGUGAGUAAUGCAUCGGAACGUGCCCAGAAGUGGGGGAUAGCCCGGCGAAAGCCGGAUUAAUACCGCAUGAGACCUGAGGGUGAAAGCGGGGGAUCGCAAGACCUCGCGCUUUUGGAGCGGCCGAUGUCAGAUUAGCUAGUUGGUGGGGUAAAGGCCUACCAAGGCGACGAUCUGUAGCUGGUCUGAGAGGACGACCAGCCACAGUGGGACAGGAACACGCCCAGACCCCCAAGGGGGGACGCAGGGGGGGAGUUUGGAAAAAGGGCGUGAGCCUGGACCCCGCCAUGCGGGGGGCGGAAAGAGGCCUUUGGGUUGUAAAACGGUUUUUGACGGGGAAAAAACGUUCGGGGCUAAUACCGUGGGGAAAUAGGGUACCCGAAAAAAAAGACCCGGACAAACAAGGUC
rnacentral:rRNA from 1 species